GAUUUCCGUUGGAUGAACCAGCGGGAGGAUAUUA
rnacentral:rRNA from 1 species